GUGUGUUGUGAGAACAAAGGCAGCAGAAGCAGAGGAUGCUGGGAGAGUCCAGAUCUGUCGCUCAGAUCUCCAGCGCAUCACAGCGAGCACACGGAGCAGAAACUCCAGACAGGAAGUCAGUAGAAGCACUUCCUCCUGCUUUCACUCCAGUGUCUGUACAGAACGAGCCCCACCAGCAGCAGAAACACCCCCAGCAUUGAGACGAGCACACACACACACACACUCUCUCUCACACACACUCGCUCUCUCUCACUCACACACACACACACACACACUCUCUCUCGCACACACACACACACACACACACAGACACACUCUCACACACACUCUCUCUCUCACUCACACACACACUCUCUCUCACACACACUCGCUCUCUCUCACUCACACACACACACACACACACUCUCUCUCGCACACACACACACACACACACACAGACACACUCUCACACACACUCUCUCUCUCACUCACACACACACUCUCUCUCACACACACUCGCUCUCUCUCACUCACACACACACACACACACACUCUCUCUCGCACACACACACACACACACACACAGACACACUCUCACACACACUCUCUCUCUCACUCACACACACACUCUCUCUCACACACACUCGCUCUCUCUCACUCACACACACACACACACACACUCUCUCUCGCACACACACACACACACACACACAGACACACUCUCACACACACUCUCUCUCUCACUCACACACACACUCUCUCUCACACACACUCGCUCUCUCUCACUCACACACACACACACACACACUCUCUCUCGCACACACACACACACACACACACAGACACACUCUCACACACACUCUCUCUCUCACUCACACACACACUCUCUCUCACACACACUCGCUCUCUCUCACUCACACACACACACACACACACUCUCUCUCUCUCUCUCUCUCACACACACACACACACUCUCUCUCUCUCUCACACACACUCUCUCUCUCUCUCACUCACACACACACACACACACACGCACACUGCUUACGCACAAUGUAAUGCAGCAGCUAAACACAUAACAUUAAACACGCA
rnacentral:lncRNA from 1 species